rnacentral:tRNA from 1 species
CAGAAAAUAGUUUAACGUAAAGAUAUUAGUUUUGGGGACUAACGAUGGGAAUUGAUUCUCUUUUCUGA